GCCGUCCAACGGCGCGGAGAGCGGCUGUAGCAGUGGAUUGCUUUUGUUGUGAUCCAAAUAAAGUUGUAAUUCUGAGUAUUUGGUAACACCAUUUGUAGGAAUAAACAUGACAGAUCAUGUCAAAGAUUUGCAACUGCUUGCUCAGGUGCAAACCUCAGAAUGCAAGGGAUGAGAUUAGAAGGCCUGGUCUGCUGGGCACUCACCUCUUGCCAGAAGCUCUGCUGUUGAGUGCCAGGAGACAACCAGCAUUGAAUGAGUAAGCAGAGGAGCUGCUUUGGGACAGUAAAACAUGGAGGUGUGCUGUUACUGCCAAACCUGAUGAUCUUUAUUUGACUAUGCAGGUACUCAACAGGCAUUGAGUACUUCAGUAUUACUAAAUUAGGUACUAUGCUACAGUAUUUCCCAGAAUACACACAACAUAUUGCAAGCAUUUUCA
rnacentral:lncRNA from 1 species